AGUGCUGAAAAUUUUGAGAGAGAAAGAGAGAAUUUUUUUUAAUCGUGAGAGUUGGAAGAAUAAGCCAUUGAUUGGUCUUGCAAAUAACAUCAAUAUCCUCCAUCUCCAAAGACUUUAUUAUUAGUAACCUUUUUUUCCCGCAUCUUGUCUUUUUUAUUCUUUUAUGUGUUGUUGAUUUCUUAUUCUUAUAUGUUUAUAUACUCUUAAAUAUAUUGUGUUGUUUCUAAUUAUGUUAGUUGUUUGAGUCAACAUUUAUACACUUCAUAGCUACAUGUUUAGGAUGAUAACUAAUGGUAUAGAAUGAUCACAAUUUCUAAAACUCAUUGUGUUAUGUCCUGGAAAUCAAUUUCAUACCUUAAACAAUAUUAUGCGAGUAUAAUAUUGUCCGAAGAAUCAACCGAGUACGAAAAAAUAAUUAAAGCUCGGUGUUAUAUUAUGAUUUUAUUUGGUAAUUUUUUAUUUCCAGAAAGUACAGGUAAUUCAGUAAAUAUUAUGUAUUUACCGUUGUUACGCAACAUUAAUAAGGUAAGCAUAUAUAGUUGGGGUUCAGUCGUGUUGACCCAUCUAUAUAGUGCAAUGUGUAAAAAGGCAAAAAAGAAUACUUGUACAUUUUUUUUCAUGUGCGUAUUUGCUACAAGCAUGAGGUUGGUCAAGAAUGUUGUCACUCGCCCCGAUAAACGAUAACCCAUUCAUGUUCCCGUUUACAACAAAGUGGUCAGUAAGGGGGAUGAACUAUAAUAGGUGUCUGAAACACGUUAUAGUAGUCUAUCGCAAUCUAUUGGACGAGGCGAUUUUAUCUGGAGGCCAUAUGUGGGUCUUGAUCAUCAUGUGAACCAUGAUGAUGCUGCAGUUUGGACAACAAAGACACCAAUUAUCCGGUUCACUACUGUGGAAAUGCACCAGAGUGACCGGGUAAAACUACAGUUCGGCAUGCAACAACAGAUUCUAGAACCCCCGACAUGUUUGGGGAAUUGACAUCAAAAAAGAGUUGAUGCCCAAUGGGAUUAUUCCGACUAGAGAGACUUUGCAAAAGAGAUGUGUCGUCAAUGGAGGAUGCGACGACAACACAUCUUAAACGAACCAGUCAUCCAUGGUGCAAGACCAACUCAACAAUAUAUGGCAUGGUUUAGGUCGAUAACAAUGCAAUAAUUUGUGUAUGACCCACGGUAUUUGAUAGAUCCAUGCCAACUAGCUUCGUCAUCGUAUGCUCAACAACAAGUUCCCGUCCAACACCAAUAUCAAACCAUCCAAACCCAAGAACCAACCUCACACCGUCAACCUAUCACAUACACCCAACAACUAAACACCCAACUUUACAAUCCAUUCAUGCCAUCCACCCAACAACUAAACACCCAACGUCACAAUCGAUUCAUGCCACCCACCCAACCACAAAAUCAAGAAUUAAACCCUACCCACCAACAACCAUACGCUUCAACCACAACCGUCUAUAACCUAGAUGAUUCAUAUGAGUCACUUCAUCGUUGCCCCCCACCAAUGACCACUCAAACAUCUCAUCACCAAAACGCACAACCAUUAUUUAACUAUAGUACGCCCCAGGAGCCAUUGCUUCAUUUUCAAAACGAUUCAAUGUUCCAAUUUAGGCAACAAUCCACAAUCCACCCCAACCUCAUCGACCUAACUACGAUGACAUGGACACCGAACUCCAUUACGGAAGCGUCGUUGGCCAGAGCCCCUCCGGAUAUUGGGAACAAAUGAUGACACAUCUGUCAAAUACAGCUGGAACUUCCGUCGGACCUUCACACCAGCCAUCAUUCGAUCAGGUCAGCACACAAAGACCCCAAACACCUCAGGAAAAUCGUGAGAGACCUCAGAGACAAACAAACACACCUAGAUGUGGAACAGGGGGACGUUUCGAUCGGGCCGGUCAUUAAA